rnacentral:lncRNA from 1 species
AAACGGUACCGUUUUAUUUCUCUCCCCCCGAAUCCCUUUUCUUUCCCGAUACCCUUUUCUUUCUCAGCCUAUUCUUUGCUUGACUAAAAUUAAAAACCUGUUCUUCUAUUUUAUACCCGAAAAUCCUCUCUACCUGUUGUUCUAUUUUAUUUCUCAGUCUGUUCUUUGAUUUCUCGAAACCUAAACACCCACUGUGCCCCCUUUCCUCAGAGGCUGUAACCGAGCAACUGUUUACCUAGUUUCCCGACGCCUAGCCACUUUACCCAGCAGCGAACUUAGUCUUAGCAAGUAUGUGAGGUUUUUGAUGUUUUUUUGUUUGGGUUUGGUAAAAUUUACUUUAGUUUUCAAUCGUGUUAAAAUUUUAGAAAUUUUAAUUUGGGUAGUUCAAAUGUGCUUUAUUCAUUAACUGACCUAGAAUUCGGAUUUUGGAUUUAGAUUAAUAAAUUACAUGCCAUUAAGAUCGAUGGGUUACGUGAAGAAAUCCAUUCAGAGGGAUUUGGACAAUUGCAAUGCUAAGUUUUAAAUGAUUGAUAGAUUUUUGUUUCUUUUCUUUUAAGGAUGAUAAAUUUUUUUUAAAAUUUUUGUAGUUGUCAGGAUUUUUUGUAAGACUUUAUUAUCAAAAUGUAAGACCUCAAAGCGAGGAAAGCUCUCUCCGACUAUUUUUUUUGUUCACAAAAUUUGAACUCAGAGACUUUACUAAUCAGUAGGGACUUAACCUUGUUAGAGAAAAGUUAAAUUCAUGAGACCUUCGGGUUAAAGAUUACCUAAAUUCUCAGCUUGAGUUAGUGGCAACUUUAUAGUGAAUGAGAGCAGAUCUGUGGUGUUUCAAAUCUGGGGUACACUUUACACCAUUUAGAACUAUCUCAAAUUUGGAGUCAUUGCCAUUGGGUUGAAUUUGAUGAAACAUCUAUAGGCAAUAAUACAAUUAAUCACAGUGGCAUUCCAGGGUAUGAUUGUUUUUUUUAUUGAAGCAUAUAAAAGAACAUAUAUGUUGCAUUUUCUGCUUACAUAGUUCUUCCUUCCAGCUCUGAAUUGUAUGGACUUGAGCCUGCCCUGAUGGCCUUGCUUGGACUGCCCACAAUGGGACAAAAGAAGUAUUUGAUAGCAUGAAUAGUAUUUGUUAGCAAUAAAAUAAACUAAUGUAAUUAUUAGAAUAGUAAUUAUAUUUUUUAUACUUGUUUUUGUUAUUCUUUAAAAAAAAUUAGUAAUUUAUUAAUCCUUUGCUAAACAAAUUUUUUCUUUAAUGCAG